GACCCGACUGCGGCACCGUGGCCGCCGCUCCCUCCUCCCGGUCCUGCAGGUGCUGCGGGCGGCCCGGCUCCGCCGCGCCCCGCGCCCCCGGCCUUCCGCCUCGGCCCCUGCCGCGGGGCCUCGCGACGCCCGUGCCGGCGAUGAGCGCGAGGAGCCGCCAUGAGCGCAGACAGCAGCCCGCUCGUGGGCAGCACGCCCGCCGGCUAUGGGACCCUGACGAUCGAGACAUCUACAGAUCCCCUCAGCUCCUCAGUUUCAUCCGAGAGGCUCAGCGGCUACUGUGGCAGUCCGUGGAGAGCCGUCGGCUACCACGCCGUGGUCUGGACGCUGGCGGGGCUCCCUUUGCUCCUGUUCCGGUGGAAGCCCCUGUGGGCGGUGCGCCUGCGGCUCCGGCCCUGCAGCCUGGCCCGCGCGGAAACACUCGUCAUCGAAACAAGAGACAGAGAGGAUAGUUCAUGGCAGCUCUGUACGGUCCAAGUGCAGACGGAGGCCAUCGGCGCUGACAGCCUGCAGCCGCCCCCACAGACGCGGGCAGAGGAUGGCCGGAGCCGGGCGGCUGUGGGGGCAGAGCCGGAGGAUGCCUGGAAGGACACCGCACGGCUCCACAGGCCUGAAGAGCAGCGGAGGCUGCGCUACUACGUCUUCCGAGGCCAGCGCUACGUCUGGAUAGAGACCCAGCAGGCCUUCUGCCAAGUCAGCCUGCUGGACCACAGCCGCACCUGUGACGACCUCCGCCGUGCCAGCGCUGGCCUCAGCCUGCAGGACCACACUGUGAGGAAGGCCGUCUACGGCCCCAACGUGAUCAGCGUCCCGGUCAAGUCCUAUCCCCAGCUGCUGGUGGACGAGGCACUGAACCCGUACUAUGGGUUCCAGGCCUUCAGCAUCGCGCUGUGGCUGGCCGACCACUACUACUGGUACGCGCUGUGCAUCCUGCUCGUCUCCGCAGUCUCCAUCUGCCUGUCCGUCUACAGGACCAGAAAGCAAAGCCAGACCCUGAGGGACAUGGUCCAGCUGUCUGUACGGGUGUGCGUCUGCAGGCCCGGGGGAGAGGAGUGGGUGGACUCCAGCGAGCUGGUGCCCGGAGACUGCCUGGUGCUGCCCCAGGAGGGCGGCCUGAUGCCCUGCGACGCGGCCCUGGUGGCUGGCGAGUGCGUGGUCAACGAGAGCUCCCUGACAGGGGAGAGCGUCCCAGAGGCCCACCGGCGGCACACACUCUUCUGCGGGACCCUCAUCUUGCAGGCCCGGGCCUUUGUGGGACCCCACGUCCUGGCGGUGGUGACGCAGACAGGGUUCUGCACGGCCAAGGGGGGCCUGGUGAGCUCCAUCCUGCACCCCCGGCCACUCAGCUUCAAGUUCUACAAGCACAGCAUGAAGUUCGUGGCCGCCCUCUCGGUUGUGGCUCUGCUUGGCACCAUCUACAGCAUCGUUACCCUCCUCCGCAACCGGGUGCCCCUGGGCGAGAUCGUGAUCCGGGCGCUGGACGUGGUGACGGUGGCCGUGCCGCCCGCCUUGCCGGCCGCCAUGACCAUGUGCGUGCUCUACGCCCAGAGCCGGCUGGAGAGCCAGGGCGUCUUCUGUAUCCACCCGCAGCGCAUCAACCUGGGAGGCAAGCUCCGGCUGGUGUGUUUCGACAAGACGGGUACCCUCACUGAAGACGGCUUGGACGUGAUGGGGGUGGUGCCCCUGGAGGGGCAGGAAUUCCUGCCGCUGGUCUCGGAGCCCCGCCGCCUGCCCGUGGGGCCCCUGCUCCGGGCACUGGCCACCUGCCACACCCUCAGCCGGCUGCGGGACACCCCAGUGGGCGACCCCAUGGACCUCAAGAUGGUGGAGUCGACUGGCUGGGUCCUGGAGGAGGGACCAAUUGCAGACUCGACAUUUGGGACCCAGGUUUUGGCGGUGAUGAAACCCCCGCUCCAGGAGCCCCACCUGCAGGGCAUGGAGCCCCCGGCGCCGGUCAGCAUCCUCGGCCGCUUCCCCUUCCUGUCAGCGCUGCAGCGCAUGAGCGUGGUGGUGGCCUGGCCCGGUGCCGCCCAGCCCGAGGCCUGCGUCAAGGGCUCUCCCGAGCUGGUGGCCAGCCUCUGCGACCCCGCGACAGUGCCCGCCGACUUCGCCCUGAGGCUGCAGAGCUACACGGCCGCGGGCUACCGCGUGGUGGCCCUCGCUGGUAAGCCGCUGCCCGUCACAGCCAGCCUGGAAGCCGCUCAGCAGCUGCCCAGGGACGCUGUGGAGCAGCAGCUGAGUCUCCUGGGGCUGCUGGUCAUGCGGAACCUGCUGAAGCCGCAGACGCCGGGCGUCAUCCAGGCUCUGCGCAAGACUCGCAUCCGCACCGUCAUGGUGACGGGGGACAACCUGCAGACGGCGGUCACUGUGGCCCAGGGCUGCGGCAUGGUGGGCCCCCGGGAGCGCCUGGUGAUUGUCCACGCCGCGCCCCCUGAGCGGGGCCAGCCUGCCUCCCUUCAGCUCCAGCCAGUGGAGUCCUUCACAGCCACGAAUGGGGCCCAGAAUCCUGACCUGGCUGCCAGCUACACCGUGGAGCCAGACCCCUGGUGCAGCCACCUGGCCCUCAGCGGGUCCAGCUUCGGCGUCCUUGUGAAGCACUUCCCCAAGCUGCUGCCCAAGGUGUUGGUCCAGGGCACCAUCUUUGCCCGCAUGGCGCCCGAGCAGAAGACAGAGCUGGUGUGUGAGCUGCAGAAGCUGCAGUACUGUGUGGGCAUGUGUGGGGACGGCGCCAACGACUGCGGGGCCCUGAAGGCGGCGGAUGUGGGCAUCUCGCUCUCCCAGGCCGAGGCCUCGGUGGUCUCCCCCUUCACCUCCAGCGUGGCCAGCAUUGAGUGUGUGCCCAUGGUCAUCAGGGAAGGCCGCUGUUCCCUGGACACGUCGUUCAGCGUCUUCAAGUACAUGGCCCUGUACAGCCUGACCCAGUUCAUCUCUGUGCUGAUCCUCUACACGGUCAACACCAACCUGGGCGACCUGCAGUUCCUGGCCGUGGACCUGGUCAUCACUGCCACGGUGGCCGUGCUCAUGAGCCGCACGGGGCCGGCGCGGGCGCUGGGGCGGGCGCGGCCGCCCGGGUCCCUGCUGAGCGGGCCGGUGCUCGGCAGCCUGCUGCUGCAAGUGGUCCUGGUGGCGGGCGUGCAGCUGGGGGGCUACUUCCUGACGGUGGCCCAGCCCUGGUUCGUGCCUCUCAACGGGACCGUGCCUGCACCGGACAACCUCCCCAACUACGAGAACACGGUGGUCUUCUCCCUGUCCAGCUUCCAGUACCUCAUCCUGGCGGCCGCCGUGUCCAAGGGGGCGCCCUUCCGCCGGCCUCUGUACACCAACGUGCCCUUCCUGGUGGCCCUGGUGGUCUUGGGCUCCGUCCUGGUGGGCCUUGUCCUGGCCCCCGGGCCUCUGCAGGGGCCGCUGGCGCUGAAGAGCAUCACCAGCACCCCCUUCAAGCUGCUGCUGCUGGGCCUGGUGGCCUUCAACGUCGUGGCAGCCUUCAUGCUGGAGAGCCUGCUGGACCAGUACCUCCCGGGCUGCCUGCGGCAGCUCCGGCCCAAGCGGGCCUCCAAGAAGCGCUUCAAGCAGCUGGAGCGGGAGCUGGCGGAGCGGCCGUGGCCGCCGCCCGCCGGGCUCGUGAGGUAGCGCCCCCUGCCGGCCCCAUGAGGCAGCGCCCCCUGCCUGCCACGCGAGGUAGCGCCGCCAGCCGGGCCCGUGAGGUGCCGGCCCCAUGAGGCAGCGCCCCCUGCUGGCCCCAUCAGGUAGCGCCGCCCGGCGGCCCGCGCCCUGCACAC
rnacentral:lncRNA from 1 species